rnacentral:rRNA from 1 species
UUCGCCCUUAGAGUUUGAUCCUGGCUCAGGACGAACGCUGGCGGCGCGCCUAACACAUGCAAGUCGAACGGAGCUUAGAGAGCUUGCUUUUUAAGCUUAGUGGCGAACGGGUGAGUAACGCGUGAGUAACCUGCCCUAGAGUGGGGGACAACAGUUGGAAACGACUGCUAAUACCGCAUAAGCCCACGGUACCGCAUGGUACUGAGGGAAAAGGAUUUAUUCGCUUUAGGAUGGACUCGCGUCCAAUUAGCUAGUUGGUGAGGUAACGGCCCACCAAGGCGACGAUUGGUAGCCGGACUGAGAGGUUGAACGGCCACAUUGGGACUGAGACACGGCCCAGACUCCUACGGGAGGCAGCAGUGGGGGAUAUUGCACAAUGGGGGAAACCCUGAUGCAGCGACGCCGCGUGGAGGAAGAAGGUUUUCGGAUUGUAAACUCCUGUCGUUAGGGACGAUAAUGACGGUACCUAACAAGAAAGCACCGGCUAACUACGUGCCAGCAGCCGCGGUAAAACGUAGGGUGCAAGCGUUGUCCGGAAUUACUGGGUGUAAAGGGAGCGCAGGCGGGAAGACAAGUUGGAAGUGAAAACCAUGGGCUCAACCCAUGAAUUGCUUCAAACUGUUUUUCUUGAGUAGUGCAGAGUAGAGAAUCCGGUGUAGCGUGGAAAUGCGUAGAUAUCGGAGGAACCCAGUGGCGAAGGCGGUCUACUGGGCACCAACUGACGCUGAGGCUCGAAAGCAUGUAGCAAACGGAUUAGAUACCCUGUAGUCCAUGCCGUAAACGAUGAUUAUAGGUGUGAGAGAUUGACCCUCUCAGUGCCGCAGUUAACACAAUAAGUAAUCCCACCUGGGGUACGACCCGCAAGGGUGAAACUCAAAGAAUUGAACGGAGGCCCGCCACAAGCCAGUGGAAGUAGUGGUUUAAUUGGAAGCAACGCAAGACCCUUACCAGUUCUUGACAUCCGAUGCAUAACACAGAGAUGUGUGAAAUCCUUCGGGACAUCGAGACAGGUGGUGCAUGGUUGUCGUCAGCUCGUGUCGUGAGAUGUUGGGUUAAGUCCCGCAACGAGCGCAACCCUUAUUGCCAGUUACUACGUUAAGAGGACUCUGGCGAGACUGCCGUUGACAAAACGGAGGAAGGUGGGGAUGACGUCAAAUCAUCAUGCCCUUUAUGACCUGGGCUACACACGUACUACAAUGGCGUUAAACAAAGAGAAGCAAGACCGCGAGGUGGAGCAAAACUCAAAAACAACGUCUCAGUUCAGAUUGCAGGCUGCAACUCGCCUGCAUGAAGUCGGAAUUGCUAGUAAUCGCGGAUCAGCAUGCCGCGGUGAAUACGUCCCCGGGCCUUGCACACACCGCCCGUC